rnacentral:lncRNA from 1 species
AAAACUUCCUCAAGAGAGACUGCUCAUAACUAGAAUGCUGUUUAAAAUUAAACUGUUUUUCUAAAACACUGAAAAUAAAAAGCACUUAAAUACAAGAGGUUGGAUGGCUAAUUUAUUUUGUUUUGAGUAUGUUUGACAACUGCAACCAUCAUUAACUUUGCCACCAACCAAAUUGAUAUUUCCCCACCGUAGUUACUUAUAGACUCAUAUAUAUGUAUAUGUGUGUGCAUAAUGCUUUAAAAGUUUUUCCCCCGUUCAAGAAUAUAGGUGAAGAUUUAUGAUAAGUAAAUGGAUGGCUGCAAUAAAUCUGACACUCGUCCUUUGGAGAUUUGGUGUUUUUAACAAGGAAGGUGAGUUCUCUUAUCUAUUUCUGAUUCCAGUUAUGAAUUCUGCUUACUUGACAGGUACACAGCACUCCUCCAUUUUGAGAAGAGGAACAGAAAUACUUGAGUGGAUGAAGCUGCUAUUUGCAUCUGAUCAGUGCUAAGUGGGAUGCUAAAUUUAUGCCAAAGAAAUUAUUCAAGCUGUAGGGCAAGAACCAAUGGGAGACCAACCAAGCAAAUCCCAAUAACAAAUCCAACAAAUCCCAAGGAGCCUCUUCUUUGGAACACAUCAGACUCAAGAGAAGAAUGCCAUCUUUUCUUUAUGACAAUAACUUCAACACAAAUAAAAUUAUUCAAACGAGCUUUCAUUUUAUCCCUUAGUCCAUCUUGACUGGUAUUUCUGUUGAUCAAAAAGAUAAAUUUCUGAACAAAGAGCAUGACAUGAUGACUAUUUGGGGAUUUUUAAAAUAUAGAAUGCAGAGCAACAUGAAGAGCAAAAAGGAAGUGACCACAUUUUCCUUAACAUAGAAUUGCUUUAACUUGUGCUAGUCCAGUACUUCUGUGAUCUCAGAUUUUGCAUGUAUGUUAUAUUUGAUUCAAGUGAGUAUUUCUGUAUUUAGAAUUAAUGAAUGUUGUCCUAUAUAGAUGAAUUAUAAAAAUUGUACACGUGCCAGUCUUAGGAACCUAUGAAAUAUCUUGAGACCUGGGUACAAUUAAGGAGGUCAGAAGACAGUUUCUGAUGGGAAGUUUGAAAAGUAAAUUGAAAAAGUUAUCGGAUAUUAACUCCUAUAAUGCAUAAUUAGUAACUACUUUUUCUAUAAACAUCCACAGAAAUGCUUGUGAAAGGGCACAAGGUGUAUCUUUGAGUCCACUGAGAAAUAAGUUUAAAGUGUCUUGAAUUAUUAAAAAAAAUGGAGGCAUGAAACACCUGGGCAGUAGUUAAGGAAAAAUAAAUGAUUUUUACUAUUCA